GACGAACGCUGGCGGCGUGCUUAACACAUGCAAGUCGAACGAUGAACCACUUCGGUGGGGAUUAGUGGCGAACGGGUGAGUAACACGUGGGCAAUCUGCCCUUCACUCUGGGACAAGCCCUGGAAACGGGGUCUAAUACCGGAUACGAGCUUCCAAGGCAUCUUGGAGGUUGGAAAGCUCCGGCGGUGAAGGAUGAGCCCGCGGCCUAUCAGCUUGUUGGUGAGGUAAUGGCCCACCAAGGCGACGCCGGGUAGCCGGCCUGAGAGGGCGAACGGCCACACUGGGACUGAGACACGGCCCAGACUCCUACGGGAGGCAGCAGUGGGGAAUAUUGCACAAUGGGCGAAAGCCUGAUGCAGCGACGCCGCGUGAGGGAUGACGGCCUUCGGGUUGUAAACCUCUUUCAGCAGGGAAGAAGCGAAAGUGACGGUACCUGCAGAAGAAGCGCCGGCUAACUACGUGCCAGCAGCCGCCGUAAUAC
rnacentral:rRNA from 1 species